rnacentral:rRNA from 1 species
AUUGAACGCUGGCGGCAGGCUUAACACAUGCAAGUCGAGCGGGGGAAGGUAGCUUGCUACUGGACCUAGCGGCGGACGGGUGAGUAAUGCUUAGGAAUCUGCCUAUUAGUGGGGGACAACAUCUCGAAAGGGAUGCUAAUACCGCAUACGUCCUACGGGAGAAAGCAGGGGGUCUUCGGACCUUGCGCUAAUAGAUGAGCCUAAGUCGGAUUAGCUAGUUGGUGGGGUAAAGGCCUACCAAGGCGACGAUCUGUAGCGGGUCGGAGAGGAUGAUCCGCCACACUGGGACUGAGACACGGCCCAGACUCCUACGGGAGGCAGCAGUGGGGAAUAUUGGACAAUGGGGGGAGCCCUGAUCCAGCCAUGCCGCGUGUGUGAAGAAGGCCUUAUGGUUGUAAAGCACUUUAAGCGAGGAGGAGGCUACUUUAGUUAAUACCUAGAGAUAGUGGACGUUACUCGCAGAAUAAGCACCGGCUAACUCUGUGCCAGCCGCCGCCGUAA